rnacentral:rRNA from 1 species
CCUACGGGAGGCAGCAGUGGGGAAUAUUGGACAAUGGGCGAAAGCCUGAUCCAGCCAUGCCGCGUGUGUGAAGAAGGCCUUCGGGUUGUAAAGCACUUUCAGUGGGGAAGAAAGCCUUGGGGCUAAUACCCUCGAGGAAGGACAUCACCCACAGAAGAAGCACCGGCUAACUCCGUGCCAGCAGCCGCGGUAAUACGGAGGGUGCGAGCGUUAAUCGGAAUUACUGGGCGUAAAGCGCGCGUAGGCGGUCUGAUAAGCCGGUUGUGAAAGCCCCGGGCUCAACCUGGGAACGGCAUCCGGAACUGUCAGGCUAGAGUGCAGGAGAGGGAGGUAGAAGUCCCGGUGUAGCGGUGAAAUGCGUAGAGAUCGGGAGGAAUACCAGUGGCGAAGGCGGCCUUCUGGACUGACACUGACGCUGAGGUGCGAAAGCGUGGGUAGCAAACAGGAUUAGAUACCCUAGUAGUC